CCUACGGGAGGCAGCAGUAGGGAAUCCUCCGCAAUGGACGCAAGUCUGACGGAGCAACGCCGCGUGAGUGAUGAAGGUUUUCGGAUCGUAAAACUCUGUUGCGAGGGAAGAAACCGUGCCAGCUAACUACUGGCACCUUGACGGUACCUCGCCAGAAAGCCACGGCUAACUACGUGCCAGCAGCCGCGGUAAUACGUAGGUGGCAAGCGUUGUCCGGAAUUAUUGGGCGUAAAGCGCGCGCAGGCGGUCCUUUAAGUCUGAUGUGAAAGCCCACGGCUCAACCGUGGAGGGUCAUUGGAAACUGGGGGACUUGAGUGCAGAAGAGGAGAGCGGAAUUCCACGUGUAGCGGUGAAAUGCGUAGAGAUGUAGAGGAACACCAGUGGCGAAGGCGGCUCUCUGGUCUGUAACUGACGCUGAGGAGCGAAAGCGUGGGGAGCGAACAGGAUUAGAUACCCUGGUAGUCCACGCCGUAAACGAUGAGUGCUAAGUGUUAGAGGGUUUCCGCCCUUUAGUGCUGCAGCAAACGCAUUAAGCACUCCGCCUGGGGAGUACGGUCGCAAGACUGAAACUCAAAUGAAUUGACGGGG
rnacentral:rRNA from 1 species